rnacentral:rRNA from 1 species
UACGUAGGGUGCGAGCGUUGUCCGGAAUUAUUGGGCGUAAAGAGCUCGUAGGCGGUUUGUCACGUCUGCUGUGAAAUCCCGAGGCUCAACCUCGGGCCUGCAGUGGGUACGGGCAGACUGGAGUGCGGUAGGGGAGAAUGGAAUUCCUGGUGUAGCGGUAGAAUGCGCAGAUAUCAGGAGGAACACCGAUGGCGAAGGCAGUUCUCUGGGCCGUAACUGACGCUGAGGAGCGAAAGCGUGGGGAGCGAACAGG